rnacentral:tRNA from 1 species
GUCCCCUUAGUUAAAUGGAUAUAACAGCGGAAAGCCUCCCUAAGAGACUGGUUGCAGGUCGAUUCCUGCAGGGGACA